UACGUAGGGCGCGAGCGUUGUCCGGAAUUAUUGGGCGUAAAGAGCUCGUAGGCGGCUUGUCACGUCGGGUGUGAAAGACCGGGGCUUAACUCCGGUUCAGCAUUCGAUACGGGCUAGCUAGAGUGUGGUAGGGGAGAUCGGAAUUUCUGGUGUAGCGGUGAAAUGCGCAGAUAUCAGGAGGAACGCCGGUGGCGAAGGCGGAUCUCUGGGCCAUAACUGACGCUGAGGAGCGAAAGCGUGGGGAGCGAACAGG
rnacentral:rRNA from 1 species